AAAGUCCCGCCCAAGGAGUUGUCCGUGCACCUUGGUAGCACAAGGGAGCGGCGUCUGAGUAACCAGGGGUCGUAAGUUCCCAACUGGCAAAGCCGCAGGCCGCAACGAAAGUGAACCUACGUGUAGCCUCGUUAAUUUAUUGGAGGCGCCGACCCUGUGGACGUAAGGGGAAGGCCGCUGCUCAUCGACAUAAAUAACGGAAGCAAUCGGUGAGACCUUCCGGGGUAGCAGGGGU
rfam:Desulfuromonadales bacterium C00003093 3730_contig_83916, whole genome shotgun sequence.